rnacentral:lncRNA from 1 species
AGUAGGAGAAAGUGAGAGGCAAGAGAGACAGGAGAAAGAGUUUUGAAUGGAUUUGGAUGGACUUGUGCAGAGCUGGAGCCUCUAAGGACAGAGCUGAUGGGUAGCCAAACACUGGGUUUCUGGGCCUAUGGAGAGCUUUAAGGCCAGCCAAGCAUUCAGCAUAGCCGUAUAUGGAGCGGGCAACUGUGAGGUGCAGGUGAUUUUCACUGCACUUACCUGGUACAGAGGACGAAGGUCCUCAGGAUGGGAGCCUCCUAGUUAUCCCCGGAAGGGGCAGCAAGGUGACCUACAGGGGACUGGACUACUGACAAUGAAGACUGGAAUUGCCCCAAAUAAGUACUUCUAUACGGGUCCACAACCCCCUUGUCUUAUUAGCCAUCUUCCUCCCCUACCUUGGGAGGUUACAGUCUUGCAGAACCCUUAUUAAAGUGGGUUUUUUUAAAAAAUCUAAGCCUACACUCUCCCUUAUGAGAGAACAAUCUGGGGAUGGAUGUUCUACUCUAGGAUACAUCCUGCAGACUACUGCCAUGCAGUUCUGGCUGAAAUUACAAGUGGCAACUCCAUAGGUGUAGAUGAGGUGUGAAGCCAUAGCUUACCUACCCCAUGAAGGGUGGCAAGUCUCAAAACAGUUGGCUACCUGGAGUCAGGACAAAAUUACAGAAACCAUCGAGGAGCUAGAAAGGUAGGGAUCUUUCUGCCUAGCCCAGAGCCCCCUCAAUAGUCCUAUGUGGCCAAUAAAGAAGCUAGAUGGUUCUUAGAGAAUGACUUUGAAGUAAAGAAGGAAGUGUGCCUCCC